rnacentral:rRNA from 1 species
AUGCUGCUGCCAUGGCCCGGCCGAGCUGCAUUGCAGCAUGCGACGCUACGACAGAGCUGCUGCCAUUGCCGCCGGCGGAGCUGCCUUGCAGCAGGAGAGGUAACGAUCUGCUGCCAUGGCCAGCGGCGGAGCUGCGUUGCAGGUUGCAGCACGCGAUGCUACGUCGGCGUUGCUGCCACGCCGACGGCGGAGUUGCCUUGCAGCAGGAGAGGCGAUGAGCUGCCGGUGAGUUGUUUCCAUGGCCGGCAGCGGAGCUGCGUUGCAGCACGUGAUGCUACGAUGGCGUUGCUGCCACGCCGGCGGCAUAGUUGCGUUGCAGCAGGAGAAGCGACAAGCUCCUGGUGA